UCUUAGCUAUUAUCAAUAAGUGCCACAAUAGACAUGGACAUGUACACAUUUCUUUCACAUGUUGAUUUCAUUUCCUUUAGGUGAAUUUCCAGAAUUGGACAAUGGGAUCACAUUGUAGAUCUAUUUUUAGUUUUUUUGAGGAAUUUCCAUUCUGUUCUCCACAAUGGUUGUACUAAUUUGCACUCUUACCAACAGUGAAUAAAAAUUCUCUUUCCCCGAUAUUUUUCCAGCAUUUUUUAUAACAGCUAUUCCAACUAAGAUGAGAUGGUUCAUAUCUCACUGUAGUUUUGAUUUGUAUUUCACUGAUGGCUACAAGUGGGAUUACAUCACAUUAAAAUAUUUCUGCACAGCAAAGGAAGCAGUCAGCUGAGUGCAGAGAAAACCUACAGAAGAGGAGAAAAUAUUCACUACCUAUUCUUCUGACAAGAGGUUAAUACCCAGGAUAUAAAGAAGUGGAAAAGAAAAAAAGAAAAAGAAAAGGAAAAGCAAAGGACCAGUAGAGCUCAUUCCAUAGUGAAAGAAUUGUGUUUGUGAACCUUGAAUUACCUGAAGCAUCUAUUGUAAAGGCUUAUCUUCAGCUGCAGAGACCCGGCAAUUAACACUGAAAUUAACACCUGAAGAAUGUUAAAAGCGGUCUUCCAGACUCACCUUUAGGGACUAGGACCUGAGAGUCUGCUUGCUCUCAUCUACCACCAAGUGUGACUGUGCCAAGUUUUGUACUGGAGAACUAGUCUCCUGGAGGCUCUAUAGGAAGUACAUUUUCUCCUAGUUUCACAAUGCAUGUGACCAUACUAGAGUCCUAGAGAUGUUUAACUUAACUUGGAGUAGUAUUUCCAAACUUAUUACACC